CCGCCCGCUGCGGCGCCGCUGCGGCGCGGAAUGAGCGCAGCUGCUCUCACGACCUCGAGUCGAUAAGUGUGCCGAGGUGGUCGCGAGGACGCGCUACUCGAGACGCAAUUGGCGCUGCGGCUCCUUCACGUCACGCAGGGUCCCAGCUAUCCGAACCCUAUCCCAGAAGUAGAGUGCAUGGAAGGGUACAUCCUGGAUGGGACACCAGUCCAUUGGUGAAGCACCUCGAUCAACCUGGGAUCUUCCAAGUGCGCUGCCACGGUUCUAACCACUGCGCCACCUGGUGCUCCCUGCUGAUACAGUAGAUGCCACUGGAAAUGAACAGCUGGAUCCCCUCAACGUUGAGUGCAACAUGUAGGUGUGCUAAGGUGAUCCGACGCAGAACGGUGGGCAGGAGGAAACGGCGAACAAAAGACAGCAGAGCAUUUUUGGUUGAGAUCCUUUAAAGGUGCAUUCAAUAUAUUGUUCUUCCAUAGUUCUACAUUAGAAGGCUUAAGCAUAUUCACAGACUUCAUUUAUAAACACAGUACUUAUAGAAAAAAAAAAAACUAAUAAAAAUAAUCAGCAUUUUCAUAGCAGCAAAGAAAACUGAAAGAAUUGUAUUUACAACUUUUAAAUGACAAGGCAAGUAGUACACCGCAAAAAAUAUUUUAACAGGUUUUUCAUUGUGCACAAGAUUUUCAGGUAUGUACAAGACUGAUUCCCAUGAAGCUAAACAGACUCGUUUCUCUCCUGUAUAUAAUGACAUCGCGGUCAUGUCAAGAUUUCCUUUAAACACGUCAAAUUUGUCUUAUGCACACUUGUGUCAAGAAAUGUUGAGGAAAUUGAGACAAAAAAAAAAAAGUCAAGAAAACUGUUUCGUGAGUGUUUUCUAGCUUGGAAAUUAAAAUGUGAAAUGUAAACCAAAAAGGACUGUGGAGAAUGUUGAAGAGGGAAGAACUUACGUAAGAUUUGAGUCCAGAACACUGACCUGAACACACACACCUUCACCUUGUCAGCGCACAUAUCUGCUUCAUUCUGCAACAGUCAAAAUCUCGUUCUCUCGCUCUAUGUAUAUAUUAAUAUAAGCUUUAAAUAAAUUCAGUGUCCAUUUCACAGGGAAAGCUCAAAAAAUAAAUAUCCACAGUUUAAUUUUCUUUUGUAGGAUGUUUUUUUUUUUUUUUUCCUCUGCGUAACUGUGCAUGUGCAAGCUCUAUGCAACGUAAGAUCUGCUGCUGAAAAUCAAAAAGAUUACAUUCAUCUCCUUUCACUGUUACUUGAUGGAAUCAAAUGACUCCGCCUCCUGAGCUAAGCCCCGCCCCCAACAUUCCAGAGUCAAUAGCAAGGGGUUCAGGGGAGCGCCACUCAUCCCCAUGUUUCAGAAACACUCAAGCUGCACUUCAAGUAUUCAAAAAUAGACUUAUGAAUAGUUUAACCAGGUAAAUUUUCUAUGCAAGUACUUAAGUAAAAUAAGGUAACUACAAUACAUCCCCCCAUGCAAUAUAAAAGCACAGCCUCCUGUAUCUCAUGAAACUACUACCCUUAGAGGCAGGAACAUUAUUGCAACUGUGAUUUGUCACACUUAAUGUGUUUUUUUUUUUUUUUUUUUCUUCCUCAAAUUUGGUUGAUCUUUUCAUAUUUUAAAGAGAUUAGCUUUUAACUUACUCAAUACUUUUGUGUGAAUCUACUUCUAGUUACAUGUAUGCAUCUUAAAAUUUUAGACAAGUAUAAUUACUAUUCUACUUACACACAGAUAUUAUAUAAUAUUGUAUAAAUAUUUAUGUGUAUGUAGAA